rnacentral:rRNA from 1 species
UACGUAGGGUGCAAGCGUUGUCCGGAAUUAUUGGGCGUAAAGAGCUCGUAGGCGGUUUGUUGCGUCGGCUGUGAAAUCCCGAGGCUCAACCUCGGGUCUGCAGUCGAUACGAGCAAACUAGAGUGUUGCAGGGGAGACUGGAAUUCCUGGUGUAGCGGUGAAAUGCGCAGAUAUCAGGAGGAACACCGGUGGCGAAGGCGGGUCUCUGGGCCGUAACUGACGCU